AGGAAGAGAGAGAGAGGGAAAUACAAUUAUACAUAGAAUAGGAAGGAGAUAGACAAGAAUAUAGAUAGAAGAGUGAAGGUAAAUGAGAUAUAGAGAAGUGAGAGAGAGAGAGAGAGAUUCAUGGAUGAGAAAAAGAGAGAAAGACAGAUGCAAUAAAGGGAGAGAGAGAGAGAAAGAAUCACAGAGAGGAAAAAGAGAAUAAGAGAGACACUCAGAAGGGAAAAGAGAGAUAAGAGAUAGACACAAGAGAGAAAAAGAGUGGUAGAUACAGAAAACAAGAGAAAUUUAAGAAGAUAUAGAGAGUGGUAGAGGGGGAGAAUUAAGUGAGAAUAGAGAGAGGGGAAAGAGAAGUGGCAUAAAGAGAGAGAGAGAAAAAGAAAGAUAUUCAUAUAGUGGGUACCAGAGGGAGGGAGAGGCAUAUACGUAUAGAGGGGGAAAGAGUGAAAGGCAGAGACACAGACAGAGAGGGACAGAUGCUGUGUACCAUGGGGGAGAAGAACAAGUGAACAAGAACCACAACAAACACGGAGUAAUAUUAAUAGUAGUAAUAAUAAUAUUAUUAUUAUUAUUAACAGUGUCAUCUGUAGAAGACUAGUUGUAGGUAUAAUUAAUAUAAUCUUCUGUAAUAUAUAUAUAUACAUAUACACACACACACACACAUAUAUAUAUACACAAGUUGUGUUUGUUGUAGUCACCGUCCUUAUCGCUGUCACAAUCCUAUUGUGUUAUAUAUAUAUAUAUAUAAUAUAUAUAUAUGAGUGUGUGUAUAUAUUUUUACGUCUUUAAAAAAAUGUAUUGUACAUAUGGGUGUAUGGGUGUGUUAUAAAUGAUUAAUAAACUCAUGUGUGAGUGUAUAAGCUAGACACAUAUACAUACAUAUAUCUGGUCACACACACACCAGUUUCUAACCAGAUGCACUCACUCACAUAAUUCUGUGAAGGUAUAUAUAUAUAUAUAUAUGUAUAUAUAAUAUAUAUGCAAACACACAAAUAUAUACAUGUAUAAUAUUUAGAUACAAACACAAUUCUGUUUCACAAAUGAAAUUAUUUACCAAAAGGAAAGAAAAUAAUCACAAAAAUAAAGCUGUCAAAGAAAUUGAAGAAUCAAAUAUUCAAAAUAUAUAUAAGCAAACAAAAACAAGGAAUCCACAUUAAUUGAAAGGAAAUUAAGGCAGUAAAAAUAUAAUGAAUACUAAUAGUGAUAUAAUGAAUAAUAAUAAUAUUAAUAAUAAUAAUAAUGAUAUUAAUUAUGAUGAAGAAAACACUAAUAAUCUGUAAUCUACACCAUGGAUACAUUCGGUCAUCAAGUGGAAAGGAGUAAAUGAAGAAUUUGUUUCUACUGUAUGGAGUAGACUACAAUCUACGAGGAAUGAACACCCAGUCUUGGAGGGAAUAACAUCAGUUGUUGGUAGGUUUCUACACAAUUAUAUAUAGUAUUAUUAUUUUAAACCAAAAAACCACAGGCAUUUUAUUCUAAAUUUGAUUUCUGUCCUUCUGUCUUUUCUCUCCCCCAUUUUGGUAUUUCUGUUUUCUUCUGUCUUCAGCCUUGUUCCACUGUGAAAAAUUUGUCAUUUACCAAAGCUGUACAUGUAUAUAUAAUGUGUAAUAUAUGAAUAAUGUGUAUAUAAAUGUGUGUUUAUGGCGAAUAUGUAUCUAUAUAAUGUGUAUUAUGUGUAUAUACAUUGUGCAUAUUAUGAAUAUAAAUAUAUGUAAGGUGUAUACAUGUGUGAGUAUAUAUGACUUUAUGUAUCUAGCAUACGAAAAGAAGUAAAACCUAAGUGCAGAUUUCUUAUAUAUAGUACAUAUUCUAAUGUUAUAUAUUUGAAAGUUUAUAUAUAUAUACACACCCACUCUACAUAUAUAAACAUACCUACACUAAUAUAUAUUUAUAUAUAUGUGUGUGUAUAUAUAUAUAUAUAUAUAUAUAGUAGCUUAUGUACACAUAUUACUAUGUAUACACACACUCAAACAUACAAUAUAUGUAGAUUAUACACUAUAUAAACACUGAAUGUAUAUUAUACCCUCUAAUAUAUGAGAUAUAUUUGUACUUUAUUUCUGACCACUUCCGUUCUCAAAAUACAUUGUAUAUACUUUUAAUUUUUUUUAGACAUUCAUCGCUUAUGAACUUGCGAGAUUUUUGUGUGUAUAUAUAUGUAUAUAAUAUAUAUAUGUAUGUAUAUAUACAAACAUACAUAUGUAAAUGUAGCCCAACCAAUUUCUUUAUGAUAGACUGGGUGGAUUGUAUGACAUUGCCAUGAAGUGGGGGAUCAUUAUAGUGCAAGGAACAAUGUGAAGUCGGUCACUCACUUAAUGUUCACAUAACAUACAUUGGUUAGGAGAGGGAAUAUCACUGACACCAUACCAGCUCUUAAUUGUUGCGGUUGUUUAGGCCUAAAUCAUCUUUGAUCGAAUAGAUAUCUACACUUGAAAACGAGUCAUCCAGGUCAUCUCUGAUGAAACAGAUCUUAGGCCUAUGAUCAAAGUGAUUCCAGCUACGACUUUUCCCCUUUUUUUUUUGUUUUCCCCUCCCCUAUAUCUUGGGAAUCCGAGUCCAUAUUAAAGUGUCUGUUCUAAGUUGAUGGUUAUAAUGUGCUUUGAGGUGUAUGUAAGUUGUUUUCUUGUAGGUCAAGCGACCACUUCAGGGACAGAAGAGAUUUCCCUUCUGGGUCCUCCUGUCUGUCAGUGGUUUCAAAUUGGGGUUAUAAACGAGAAUAAGUCUGUUUUAUUCAUCACUACUGUUGUUGAACAGACAUCAGGCUCAUUGCUUUACAACUGCACUCUUCUACUUCCUUUCUCCUUAAUAAACAUUUACUGAGCAAAAGCUCAAUUCGUUGUGUAUAUAUAUGUACUAGAUAUUACGUAUGUACAUUAUCUAUCUAUCUAUCUAUCUAUCUAUCUAUCUAUCUAUCUAUCUAUCUAUAUGCUGCGUAUAUAUAUAUAUACACGCUCACUGUCAUUGUGUGGUGUAUGUAUAUAUAUAUAUACACACACAUACAGGCAUGUAUAUUUGUGUGUGUAUAAACACGUACGUGUAUAUAUAUAUAUGUACGUAUAUGUGUAUGCAUAGAUGCGUAAAUGUUUGUAUACCGACAUCAAACAUUUCUUACUUCGUUCUUCCCAUCCGUAUCUUUAUAAUACUAUGAGCUGUUUUGUGUAUAGUCUUAUUAAAUGAAAUAUUAUGUAGCCAGAAGUGUGUAUAUCAUUAUAAACAACGUUUUAAUGUCCGUCGAAAAUGUUUAACACGAAAUAACUGUCAAUUACUCUGCUAAAUAACUCUCACACAUACAAUUAUGGUUUGAUGUAUGUACGUAGAUAUUUGUCUGGGUAGAGGGCACUUUGUCGUGUGUUAAUGCUAAAUUCAUCCUUAAUUCUGUAUCCUUUGUGUCUAUUGCCUUCGUACACCCUGAGGGAUCGGAUUAAUCCAAGAGUUGUCUUUUAUCUUCCCUUUCUGCAUGUCGAACACCCUUUUCUUCGGUGUUAAUAAAUAUCGUUAUAUGAAAAGUUAUUUCUCAAGAACUGCUGGGAGAGAAUUCUAGCUGUUACUACAAAUUGUUGUUAUAAUUAUUAUUAUUAGUAUUAUUUAUUAUUUGCUAACGUAGUGGUUACGCUUAUUAGAUGUUUGAAACGUCCCCUCUUUGUCUCUUUUCAUCGUUUCCAUCCAUAUACACCAUUCCAUACACACCGAUUCCAGUUGAAAUAUCAAGAGAUUGC
rnacentral:lncRNA from 1 species